AGGACGAACGCUGGCGGCGUGCUUAACACAUGCAAGUCGAACGAUGAUGCCCAGCUUGCUGGGUUGAUUAGUGGCGAACGGGUGAGUAACACGUGAGUAACCUGCCCCUGACUUCGGGAUAACGCUGGGAAACUGGUGCUAAUACCGGAUAUGACGCAUCCUCGCAUGGGGGUGUGUGGAAAGACUGUGUCGGUUGGGGAUGGGCUCGCGGCCUAUCAGCUUGUUGGUGGGUGAUGGCCUACCAAGGCGUCGACGGGUAGCCGGCCUGAGAGGUGACCGGA
rnacentral:rRNA from 1 species